rnacentral:rRNA from 1 species
AUUGAACGCUGGCGGCAGGCUUAACACAUGCAAGUCGAGCGGUAACAGGGGAAAGCUUGCUUUCCUGCUGACGAGCGGCGGACGGGUGAGUAAUGCCUGGGGAUCUGCCUUGUGGAGGGGGAUAACUACUGGAAACGGUGGCUAAUACCGCAUAAACUUGCAAAAGCAAAGUGGGGGACCUUCGGGCCUCACGCCAUGAGAUGAACCCAGGUGGGAUUAGCUGGUAGGUGAGGUAAUGGCUCACCUAGGCGACGAUCUCUAACUGGUCUGAGAGGAUGACCAGUCACACUGGGACUGAGACACGGCCCAGACUCCUACGGGAGGCAGCAGUGGGGAAUCUUGCACAAUGGGGGCAACCCUGAUGCAGCCAUGCCGCGUGUAUGAAGAAGGCCUUCGGGUUGUAAAGUACUUUCAGCGAGGAGGAAGGCGUUAAGGUUAAUAACCUUAGCGAUUGACGUUACUCGCAGAAGAAGCACCGGCUAACUCCGUGCCAGCAGCCGCCGUAAAAC